ACUCCUUGAAGCCUCUGGCAAACAGCAGUUGAUCUGCAAAGGCAGUCAUUGUGAUGUUUCCACUGUCGUGUUCCAGGUUCUUGCGUGGGGAGCAGUCUUCCAUGCCACCCCCAGAGACCAAGCUCAUUCUCCGACCUGCAUGCUCUCCACCAAGCCUGGCUCCAAACCAACUCUUCUCAGAUGGGUGCCUAGAAAACACAAGAUUGUUUCCAAACUACAGUUUGUGCUGAGACCCUUAUCACCUGCAAAAUCUACUGUCACUUGUCUGGAGUCUCCAGGGAGCUGGAAGCAUUGGGGUCAUCCCGCCAACAGCCAACCCCAGGAUUUCCAAGCCAAUAUGGAGAGUCUAUGAUGAGAAAUAAAGACCCCAAAGAGAGAGGUGGCCAUUCAUCUAUCAUCCAUUCAAUGCAUCCAUCAAUGGAGCAAUGGAAUGACGGGCUGGCCAUUUCAGAGUGGGUGGUCAGGGGAGGCCAAGCAGAG
rnacentral:lncRNA from 1 species